rnacentral:rRNA from 1 species
UACGUAGGGUGCAAGCGUUAAUCGGAAUUACUGGGCGUAAAGCGUGCGCAGGCGGUUGUGUAAGACAGAUGUGAAAUCCCCGGGCUCAACCUGGGAACUGCAUUUGUGACUGCACGGCUCGAGUGCGGCAGAGGGGGAUGGAAUUCCGCGUGUAGCAGUGAAAUGCGUAGAUAUCGGGAGGAACACCGGUGGCGAAGGCGACCAUCUGGACGGUACUGACGCUGAGACGCGAAAGCGUGGGGAGCGAACAGG